CUGGCAGCAGGGGUGAGGAGGAUGGCGGAAGGGGGGCAAGUGGAGAUCGGGAGGGGGAUGUCAGAGGAGUUGGGGGACAGCAAGCAGGACGUCCUGAGGACCCCGGGAAGCUGUGGAACCUCCCUCCCGCAGGGUAGGUGGAGGCGCCCCCACCGCCACUACUCACUCGAGUCGGAGGCAGACCACGCACAGCCGGCGGAGACAGCAAAACCAGAUCGGAAAGAGCGCAAGGGCAGUCGGGGAACAGCGGCGAAGCGAGCGUCCGUACCUUUUAAAGACUCUCCCGCUUCUGGGAAUCCGCAACCUUCCUGUUCUUAAAGAGCAAAAUAUCUCAUCUAGACUAAAUAAAUGACGCUAGGAAAACGCCUCAUUCCCCAAGUGUUUUGCUCUUCCCACCGCGAGGGCACGGCUGCAUACGCUGUUGAGGGGGAAGAAACCUAAAGCCAGCCAGAAGCCAGGGCACCUAAAGGUCCAAGGAUGCCAGUGACAACGCAGGGGACCUCAUACCUGAGCUGCAGGAUGAUUUAUUGUUUUAGAUGAAAAGAAAAAUAAACAAUGCCGGCUCUAUCUAGUUCACGUUCUAGGCCUACUGAUGACCUCUGUGCCAGAAGCCACCAUCUUGAAGAAUUGAUACAUGGGAGAAUGGGGAGCUGGAAAAAGGCUGUUACGUAAACUAUUCCUCCAACCACAAAUGCAAGAGGCUGCUCUGGUCCAGAGCUUCUCAACCUGGACACUUGACAUUUGGGGCUGGAAGACUUGACGUGCUGAAGCAGAACCGAACUCCAUCAGCCUGUUAAGGGCUGGAUAUAAGCUCAACUGUAUAUGUUUACACAGACUUGCAAAACUAUCUGAGUCCUCUGUGAAAGGCCAUUGGGCUACCCUGC